rnacentral:lncRNA from 1 species
GAUCUUAACGGACCGUCAAUGCCCAAUUGGCAAUCCUAUGAUCAGGAACGUUUAGGAUGUGUCUACGAAAGAAUGGUCUCAUGAAUCUAACUUCUUUAGAUCGUAUUCUUCCAAUCACAUAUUCCUUGGACUUAUCGUUUAAGCAUAUAACAUUUAUAUGAGACGGCUUAAACAAUAAUCUUUGCCCUUUAUAGUUAAACUAGAUUAGUUUAACAUGUGAAAUGUCCGUAAUGUAUCAUCAUAUGAUUGGUUUUAGAGCACAUUUCCAACAAUCUCAUCAUGGCUGAACCAGGACUAUACUCAUAUUAUGAUUCUCUAUCCUAAUCUAACCAAGUCUCGACCAAUCCUACCUCCACUAGAACCUUGAACCAAGCUCUUUAUCUAGCCACUUUCACUUCUCAAAUCCUGGCAUCCUCAUUCCAUUAAGACUCCUUAUCAUGCUAAGACUCAGCCCAUUUCCUCUUAUCCAGGUCAAUCCUUCUUGCAAUGGGACUCGACCGACCUGACUGGGCGGCUUAUGACCACAGGAUGACCCAUAGUAUUCUUGGAAAAGCUUUGGACCGAACAUAAACCUACGCUCGGCCCAAUAAUAUUUGUUGAUGCACAAAAUCAAUGAGGACUUUGGUACAACAGAAAUUGUUAAGUUUGUGACCUACGCUAAAUUACUCCGGUCACUAGUAUGGAUAAGUAUGUAAAUGGAUAGAGAUAGGGAAGCAAACACAAGAUGUACGUCGUUCACCCAGAUUGGCUAUGUCCACAGAGUAGAGGAGUUCUCAUUAAUUGUGAAGGGUUUACACAAGUACAUAGGUUCAAGCUCUCUUUUAGUGAGUACAAGUGAAUGAUUUAGUACAAAUGACAUUAGGAAAUAUUGUGAGAGAAUGAUCUCUAUUU